UUUUUUCUUUUUUCUUUUUGAAAAAUCUGACCCCCAGGGUAUGCCAGAUCCGCCACAAAUAUAGAGAGUCUACUGUUCACACGAACAGAGUCUUCCUUAUAUUUGCACGGCGUCGCACAAGUACAAGAUAUACAAUACAAGAUACAACCACCAUAUAUGAAUAUCCACACAUCCAUACACCAUUCACAUUCACAUUCAAUACAUCACAAUUAUCCAUAAUUCCACCUCUAUCAGUUUAAAAUGUUUCCUAUCCGGAAACUCGUUUUGAAAUACUAAUAAACAGGAAAACCAGAAAAUCCUUAUAAAAACUGUUUCUCACACGGAAAUCCUUUUUCUUUAAAACUUGUUACCACGAGGGGUAACCAUGUUCAUUUUUGCAAGAAUCAUAAAUCCAUUAUUCUAUUCACGAAAUCCCAAUUAUUCAAUUAACAUAAAUUACUGAACCAUAAUUACUUUCUAAGUCAUUUAUUAAAAGGAACUGAGUUUAAGAAUUAAACCAAAUGGACGG
rnacentral:lncRNA from 1 species